UUUGUUUCUCAUUGUAAUGUGGGUGCCAGC
rnacentral:piRNA from 1 species